ACCGCACUGGCAGUGUGGUUAGCUGGUUGUGUAAUGAAAAACCAACAGCCAGUAACGACACUGCUCCUGCGUA
rfam:Danaus plexippus plexippus isolate F-2 unplaced genomic scaffold DPSCF300125, whole genome shotgun sequence.